CAGUAGCCGCGGUAAUACGUAGGUGGCAAGCGUUGUCCGGAAUUAUUGGGCGUAAAGGGCUCGCAGGCGGUUUCUUAAGUCUGAUGUGAAAGCCCCCGGCUCAACCGGGGAGGGUCAUUGGAAACUGGGAAACUUGAGUGCAGAAGAGGAAAGUGGAAUUCCACGUGUAGCGGUGAAAUGCGUAGAGAUGUGGAGGAACACCGGUGGCGAAGACGACUCUCUGGUCUGUAACUGACGCUGAGGAGCGAAAGCGUGGGGAGCGAACAGGAUUAGAUACCCCCGUAGUCCCUGUCUCUUAUAC
rnacentral:rRNA from 1 species